UUUAAGGUCUAACCUGCCCAAUGAGGAUUUAAAUGGCCGCAGUAUUUUGACUGUGCAAAGGUAGCAUAAUUAUUAGUUUCUUAAUUGGAAGCUUGUAUGAAGGGUUGGACGAGGUAAAAUCUGUCUCUAUUUAAGUUAUGAUAGAAUUUAAUUUUUAAGUUAAAAGGCUUAAAUGAUUGUAAAAGACGAGAAGACCCUAUAGAUCUUUAUUUAAUUAUAGCUUUAAUAAUUUAGGAUUAUUUUAGUUUAAAUCUUUAAUUAAAUUUUAUUGGGGUAAUAUAAAGAUUAAAUAAAUUCUUUUUAUUUAUAACAUUGAUUUAUGAAUUAAUGAUCCAGUAUUAUUGAUUAAAAGAUUAAGUUACCUUAGGGAUAACAGCGUAAUUUUUUUGGAGAGCUCAUAUCGAUAAAAAAGUUUGCGACCUCGAUGUUGGAUUAAAAAUUAUCUUGGGUGUAGAAGUUCAAGAUUUUGGUCUGUUCGACCAUUAAAUUUUUACAUGAUCUGAGUUCAGACCGGCGUAAGCCAGGUCGGUUUCUAUCUUUAUAAAAUUAAAAUAUUUUAGUACGAAAGGACCAAAUAUUUAAUAUAAUUAUAUUUAUUUUUUGAGUAAAAUU
rnacentral:rRNA from 1 species